AUAUGUCCACAAUGUAUCCCUGUUUCUCUCACUCUCUCCAUCUGUUUCUGUUUCUCUCUAUUAUUCACACAAGCACAAACCCUAGACCACCAUUCAAAACCACCACCACCACCAAAAAUGUCUCACGCCGUGGUGGCGUCGCCCUAUUUCCCCACCGUGAGGUCGGCGGCGAACUGACCAAACCAGGUAGCAGUGCGUGGAGCCGCCUACACUCUACCAUUGCUAAUCCUCUCGAUUUCAGACCUCUUGCAUCAGAUCUUUGCCUCUCAAGAGUUUCUUCACCUUGAAUUUGCUAAACCUGUAGUUUUUGCCUCCUGUAAUUAAUUUGAUUGACAUGGAUUGAAGAAAACCCCUUUUUCUUAUACAAUUGAAAUAUGAAAGCCC